rnacentral:rRNA from 1 species
AGUGAACGCUGGCGGUAGGCCUAACACAUGCAAGUCGAACGGCAGCACAGUAAGAGCUUGCUCUUACGGGUGGCGAGUGGCGGACGGGUGAGGAAUACAUCGGAAUCUACUUUUUCGUGGGGGAUAACGUAGGGAAACUUACGCUAAUACCUCAUACUACCUACGGGUGAAAGCAGGGGAUCUUCGGACCUUUCGCGAUUGAAUGAGCCGAUGUCGGAUUAGCUAGUUGGCGGGGUAAAGGCCCACCAAGGCGACGAUCCGUAGCUGGUCUGAGAGGAUGAUCAGCCACACUGGAACUGAGACACGGUCCAGACUCCUACGGGAGGCAGCAGUGGGGAAUAUUGGACAAUGGGCGCAAGCCUGAUCCAGCCAUACCGCGUGGGUGAAGAAGGCCUUCGGGUUGUAAAGCCCUUUUGUUGGGAAAGAAAAGCAGCAGGUUAAUACCCCGCUGUUCUGACGGUACCCAAAGAAUAAGCACCGGCUAACUUCGUG